rnacentral:sRNA from 1 species
AGCGAGAGAGCGUUGCCGCAGGCACGACCCGAAGGGCGAAGCGCGCAGCGCUGAGUAAUCCUUCCCCCACCACCA